AUUCCGCAAGGAUGAUGAACCAGUUAGAUGCGUGAAAGGGAAUUUCUUUCUGAGCUCAACAAUUGAGGCAUUUUAAUAUCCCUGACUUGCUGAUA